AACCAUUUCAGGACCUCAGUUCAACAUCAAGCUGCUGGAACUCCGACCCCUCUGCACACCUGCGACGAGCAGAGGCAUCGCCGGGAACCCCUAGAUGAAUGAAUCCUGACUGGCCAGCGGGUGAAACAUGUCAGUAUAUUGGGAGUGGCCUCAGGCCUUGCCCCAGGCCCGUGCACACUCGCUCUCUCCCUCCUAUACCCUUAUCAUCAAGUUUCCAGUGGCCUAGCAGAGGGAGCAGUAAGGACUUUUAAUGAGGGGAUGAAGAUGAUGGAAACUUGGAAACAAAGCUGGGUUGCUUCCUUUAGAAAUACAAAACCACUCCUCAAACUACAACAGGCAUUAGCUCAUCCCAUUGUUUGAUGGGGAGGAAGAUAAGAAUUCAUUGGGACUCAAUCCAUCACAGCAUGGUGGGAAGUGUUGAGGAAGCAAGCUUUUCAAAAACAUAACCUUGACAGAGCUGGACCCAACAGACCUAUACCAAAAGUUUCAACACUCCCCAGCCACUGGGGAUUCAGCCCACAGGAAGGAGGAGGCUCAUGAGGCAGCAGCUGACUUGCAAGCCCAUGGAAACUGCUGAAAGUGAGCAACAUCCAGAGGCACGGUCUUUGGCACAGCCCUGGGACGUUCUGGAAAGUUCCUGCUAUCCAGGCCUCUGACAGCCAUGAAUCCUGCUCUCAUUCUGUGAAAGGACCAACCUCACUUUUAUCCUUCAAAGGUUUAGGUGGAAACUCCUUGACUUGAAACUCAUGGAGGUUCGCAAUCUCCUACCCUGCAAAAGGAAUGAUCUGGCUCAGCUGUGAGCAGUAACUUUCGCAAUACCAAGAUGUGCCCUUGAGGGCCAGCUCCUACACACUGGUGCAGUGACUCUGUCAGAUAAGGAGGUGAACAAGGAAGAGUAAAGAGGACCUGUUUCCAAAAGUGCUUCAAUUGUCUGUCUGAUCAUGCGGCUAGCAAGUACAGAGCAGGGAGAGAGAAAAACUACAAUGGAUAGUCAGGAGAGGAUUAAGGGGCAGGAGAGAUGAUAAAGCUCAUGGAGGACACAUCAGAGAUGCUCAGGUCCCUGAUUGCACUACAGUCGGAACAUAUCCCUACUUGACUCCUCCUACAACCCAUACAGACUUGCAUUCCAGACCCUCCAUUCCUCACAUGUUCCUGACCUGUUGCAGUAUCCCCUGUACUCUAUCCCUAGAGACAUGUUCCAUAAUGACAGCUGGACUAACACACAGCUGUGAGAGACUCAUUUCAGAGACUGCUGCUCAGUGUCAUGUCCCCUGUAAGAAAUGGACAUGUGUGUAUUGCUGUUUAAUAAAAA